rnacentral:rRNA from 1 species
UACGGAGGAUGCAAGCGUUAUCCGGAUUUAUUGGGUUUAAAGGGUCCGCAGGCGGAUCAAUAAGUCAGUGGUGAAAGCCCAUAGCUCAACUAUGGAACUGCCAUUGAAACUGUUGAUCUUGAGUCUAGUUGACGUAGGCGGAAUGUGACAUGUAGCGGUGAAAUGCAUAGAUAUGUCACAGAACACCAAUUGCGAAGGCAGCUUACGAAACUAGACUGACGCUCAUGGACGAAAGCGUGGGUAGCGAACAGG